GUCCAUAAGCAUUAACUCAGCUCUGUUGGUUAAAGCAUGGUGCUGAUAACUCCAAGGUUGCAGGUUCAAUCCCUGUAUGGGACA